CCUACGGGUGGCAGCAGUCGAGAAUCAUUCACAAUGGGGGAAACCCUGAUGGUGCGACGCCGCGUGGGGGAAUGAAGGUCUUCGGAUUGUAAACCCCUGUCAUGUGGGAGCAAAUUAAAAAGAUAGUACCACAAGAGGAAGAGCCGGCUAACUCUGUGCCAGCAGCCGCGGUACUACAGAGGUCUCAAGCGUUGUUCGGAAUCACUGGGCGUAAAGCGUGCGUAGGCUGUUUCGGAAGUCGGGUGUGAAAGGCGCGGGCUCAACCCGCGGACGGCACAUGAUACUGCGAGACUAGAGUAAUGGAGGGGGAACGGGAAUUCUCGGUGUAGCAGUGAAAUGCGUAGAUAUCGAGAGGAACACUCGUGGCGAAGGCGGGUUCCUGGACAUUAACUGACGCUGAGGCACGAAGGCCAGGGGAGCGAAAGGGAUUAGAUACCCCUGUAGUC
rnacentral:rRNA from 1 species